rnacentral:rRNA from 1 species
CCUACGGGAGGCAGCAGUAAGGAAUAUUGGUCAAUGGGCGAGAGCCUGAACCAGCCAUGCCGCGUGCAGGAAGACAGCCCUCUGGGUCGUAAACUGCUUUUAUUCGGGAAUAAACCUACUUACGUGUAAGUAGCUGAAUGUACCGAAGGAAUAAGGAUCGGCUAACUCCGUGCCAGCAGCCGCGGUAAUACGGAGGAUCCAAGCGUUAUCCGGAUUUAUUGGGUUUAAAGGGUGCGUAGGCGGCCUGUUAAGUCAGGGGUGAAAGACGGUAGCUCAACUAUCGCAGUGCCCUUGAUACUGAUGGGCUUGAAUGAACUAGAGGUAGGCGGAAUGUGACAAGUAGCGGUGAAAUGCAUAGAUAUGUCACAGAACACCGAUUGCGAAGGCAGCUUACUAUGGUUUUAUUGACGCUGAGGCACGAAAGCGUGGGGAUCAAACAGGAUUAGAUACCCUGGUAGUCCACGCCCUAAACGAUGAACACUCGCUGUUGGCGAUACACAGUCAGCGGCUAAGCGAAAGCGUUAAGUGUUCCACCUGGGGAGUACGCCCGCAGGGUGAACGUCAAGGAAUUGACGG